rnacentral:rRNA from 1 species
AUACGUAGGUGGCAAGCGUUGUCCGGAAUUAUUGGGCGUAAAGCGCGCGCAGGCGGCUUCUUAAGUCUGAUGUGAAAGCCCACGGCUCAACCGUGGAGGGUCAUUGGAAACUGGGAGGCUUGAGUGCAGAAGAGGAGAGCGGAAUUCCACGUGUAGCGGUGAAAUGCGUAGAGAUGUGGAGGAACACCAGUGGCGAAGGCGGCUCUCUGGUCUGUAACUGACGCUGAGGCGCGAAAGCGUGGGUAGCGAACAGGAUUAGAUACCCUGGUAGUCCACGCCGUAAACGAUGAGUGCCAAGUGUUAGGGGGUUUCCGCCCCUUAGUGCUGCAGCAAACGCAUUAAGCACUCCGCCUGGGGAGUACGGCCGCAAGGCUGAA